rnacentral:rRNA from 1 species
UACGUAGGGGGCAAGCGUUGUCCGGAAUCAUUGGGCGUAAAGAGCGCGUAGGCGGCCCUGUAAGUCCGCUGUGAAAGUCAAGGGCUCAACCCUUGAAUGCCGGUGGAUACUGCAGGGCUAGAGUCCGGAAGAGGCGAGUGGAAUUCCCAGUGUAGAGGUGAAAUUCGUAGAUAUUGGGAAGAACACCGGUGGCGAAGGCGGCGAGCUGGUCCGUUACUGACGCUGAGGCGCGACAGCGUGGGGAGCAAACAGG